UACGUAGGGUGCGAGCGUUGUCCGGAAUUAUUGGGCGUAAAGGGCUCGUAGGCGGUUUGUCGCGUCGGGAGUGAAAACCAGGUGCUUAACACCUGGCUUGCUUUCGAUACGGGCAGACUAGAGGUAUGCAGGGGAGAACGGAAUUCCUGGUGUAGCGGUGAAAUGCGUAGAGAUCGGCAGGAACACCCAGGGGGAAACCAGCCGACUGGGCAUUGACUGACGCUGAGGUGCGAGAGCGUGGGGAGCGAACCGG
rnacentral:rRNA from 1 species